UACAGAGGUGGCAAGCGUUGUUCGGAAUUACUGGGCGUAAAGCGUGCGUAGACGGUUAUUUAAGUCGGAUGUGAAAGCCCCGGGCUCAACCUGGGAAUUGCAUUCGAGACUGAAUAGCUAGGGUGCGGUAGAGGGAAGCGGAAUUUCCGGUGUAGCGGUGAAAUGCGUAGAUAUCGGAAGGAACAUCAGUGGCGAAAGCGGCUUCCUGGACCAGCACUGACGCUGAGGCACGAAAGCGUGGGGAUCGAACAGG
rnacentral:rRNA from 1 species